rnacentral:rRNA from 1 species
GUGCCAGCAGCCGCGGUAAUACAGAGGGUGCAAGCGUUGUUCGGAAUUAUUGGGCGUAAAGCGCGUGUAGGCGGCCUUGCAAGUCGGGUGUGAAAUCCCUCAGCUUAACUGAGGAAGUGCGCCCGAAACUGCAGGGCUUGAGUACCGGAGAGGGUGGCGGAAUACCCCAAGUAGAGGUGAAAUUCGUAGAUAUGGGGUGGAACACCGGUGGCGAAGGCGGCCACCUGGACGGAUACUGACGCUGAGACGCGAAAGCGUGGGGAGCAAACAGGAUUAGAAACCCUUGUAGUCC